rnacentral:rRNA from 1 species
GACGAACGCUGGCGGCGUGCUUAACACAUGCAAGUCGAACGAUGACGACCAAGCUUGCUCGGUCUGAUUAGUGGCGAACGGGUGAGUAACACGUGAGCAACCUGCCCUUCACUCUGGGAUAACCUCGGGAAAUCGGGGCUAAUACCGGAUAUGAGCUCCUGUCGCAUGGCGGGUGUUGGAAAGUUUUUCGGUGAAGGAUGGGCUCGCGGCCUAUCAGUUUGUUGGUGAGGUAGUGGCUCACCAAGGCGAUGACGGGUAGCCGGCCUGAGAGGGCGACCGGCCACGCUGGGACUGAGACACGGCCCAGACUCCUACGGGAGGCAGCAGUGGGGAAUAUUGCACAAUGGGCGAAAGCCUGAUGCAGCGACGCCGCGUGAGGGAUGACGGCCUUCGGGUUGUAAACCUCUUUCAGCAGGGAAGAAGCGAAAGUGACGGUACCUGCAGAAGAAGCGCCGGCUAACUACGUG